AAAAACUUCGGCAAGAACGUGGAGCUUGUGUGUGAGACUUGUGUGCUAACUUAGACCACAAGCCCCCUCACGAGCCCUGUUUUUACGAACCCUGUGUGAACCGUAAUAUUUAUUCCAUCCACGUAAUACGAAAUUUCUAGUCUAAAGUCUUCUUCAUAUCACGAGAAUAUGAUAAAAG
rnacentral:misc_RNA from 1 species